rnacentral:lncRNA from 1 species
UACCAUCAUAAUUGACCCACAAGCUAUAUGGGUCUAGUGUUACCUCUUGGAUGGGCCUUUAUGAUACAUAUGUACAUGUAUAUUAUUGAGGGAUUCCCAUGUACCCCACAAGCACAUGGUCAUCAAGACCAAUCCUCAUGUCGGCAAACAUGAGUUUCCAGUGUCAACUUUUCAAACUCACACCUUCAAGGCUAGCUAUCACAACCCUCUUUAUUGCCCAAUU